UCCCUGUGAUGAUUAAUUUUAUGUGUCAACUUGUCUGGGCCACAGGGUGCCCAGAUAUUUGGUCAAACAUUAUCCUGGGU
ensembl:snoRNA